rnacentral:rRNA from 1 species
AAGUCUGUUGGAAUACAGCGGCAUAGUGGUGAGACCCCCGUAUAUGGUGCGGACGCCCAGCGCUUUGUGAUACAUUUUCGAAGAGUCGAGUUGUUUGGGAAUGCAGCUCAAAUUGGGUGGUAAAUUCCAUCUAAAGCUAAAUAUUGGCGAGAGACCGAUAGCGAACAAGUACCGUGAGGGAAAGAUGAAAAGCACUUUGGAAAGAGAGUUAACAGUACGUGAAAUUGUUGGAAGGGAAACGCUUGAAGUCAGACUUGCUUGCCGAGCAAUCGGUUUGCAGGCCAGCAUCAGUUUUCCGGGAUGGAUAAUGGUAGAGAGAAGGUAGCAGUUUCGGCUGUGUUAUAGCUCUCUGCUGGAUACAUCUUGGGGGACUGAGGAACGCAGUGUGCCUUUUGGCGGGGGUUUCGACCUCUUCACACUUAGGAUGCUGGUGGAAUGGCUUUAAACGACCCGUCUUGAAC